AUUGAACGCUGGCGGCAUGCUUUACACAUGCAAGUCGAACGGUAACAGGCCGCAAGUUGCUGACGAGUGGCGAACGGGGGAGUAAUGCAUCGGAACGUGCCCAGUCGUUGGGGAUAACUACUCGAAAGAGUAGCUAAUACCGCAUACGAUCUAUGGAUGAAAGCGGGGGACCGUAAGGCCUCGCGCGAUUGGAGCGGCCGAUGUCAGAUUAGGUAGUUGGUGGGGUAAAGGCUCACCAAGCCAACGAUCUGUAGCUGGUCUGAGAGGACGACCAGCCACACUGGAACUGAGACACGGCCCAGACUCCUACGGGAGGCAGCAGUGGGGAAUUUUGGACAAUGGGCGCAAGCCUGAUCCAGCAAUGCCGCGUGCAGGAAGAAGGCCUUCGGGUUGUAAACUGCUUUUGUACGGAACGAAACGGCUCUGGUUAAUACCCGGGGCUAAUGACGGUACCGUAAGAAUAAGCACCGGCUAACUACGUG
rnacentral:rRNA from 1 species